UACACAGUCCUCGGCAAACAAGUGAACGUGAGAAGUCAAUGAAGAAGGUAGAUUGUUAAUAUAGAUUAGAAAAAAAACGUUGCAGUGGCGUAGC
rnacentral:lncRNA from 1 species